ACAAUAAUAAUAUAAACAUCACUGCCGUCGCUGGGUUUCGUACACAGAGGCAUCCAUUCCCCACCUCCGGCUCCAGACCCUUUUCCUGUUUUCUUUUUCUCUUUGAAUCGAAUAGAUUGCUUUGCACGAAACGCCUUCGGUUCCAAAUUCCUUUUUUUUUUUUUUCUGUUUUUUUGGUUUUCCUCUCGCUUCCUUCUCUUCUUUUGGAAGAUAUAUAACCAGAGGAGAUCUCCUCAUCUUCUUCUUCUUGUUAUACAUAUUCCGAAGACGAAGAGAGAAGCGUUGGACAUGGAGAAGGGGAAGAAGGAGAAGGAGGAGAGGAGGAAGGACGUGAUACGGCUGGAGCGGGAGGCCGUCAUUCCCAUCCUCAAGCCCAAGCUCAUCAUGAAGCUCGCCUACCUCAUUG
rnacentral:lncRNA from 1 species